ACGGCGAGGCUGACGUUGCCAUCACGGGAGAGAGCGAGAGAAAAGAGGAGCAAAAGCGGACAGCAGGCAGCCCACGCCCACGCCACCCUGAUAAGACGAGAGGGACGGUGGAAGGAACAGUUGAGUCGCGUUGCGUUUGCGUUGCCCACCCCCCGCCGCAACUCUCUCAUCCGUCGCAUCCCCGCCCGCCCGCCCGCCCGCCUCCUACCGCCAUCCCAUCCAACUCCUCCUCCCCGCACACGCUCUUCGCGCCUCAAAUAGCACGGGCAAUGGCAGCGGCGCGGCCCUGUUGCAGCCGCAGCAGCCACCGGCAACCACGCCUCCUCGUCCUCGCCCUCACCGCCUUCGCGUCGCCGGCGCCGCUGCUGCUUUAGCCGUCCUGGACUUCCGCUCCGAGGUGAUCGCCGCCCGGAUGGGUGAUCUGGGCGUCCGGGUUGUGGGCAGGGGCUGCGCCGCGCCCAUGGAGCCGCGCAAGGAGAUGGCGCCGCCGCCGCUGGAGCAGCAGCAGCAUCCUCCCCUCUUCAUGGAUUUCUCCCGGCGAGAUGGAGUCGCAGACGGAGGCAACGGGCGGAAGCGGCCGCGCGAGGCCGUGGCGCCGCCGGCACGCCUCUUCUCCCUGCAGGCGCCGCAGGGUUCCCCGGGGCACAAGGUGAUACACCUGGCGCAGCUGCACCGGCGGCCUGCGGCGACGGGCCUGCGGCUCGACUUCGACGAGGGAGUCUCGGAGCACGCGGCGUGCACGUCGUCGACGUCGUCCCUUCUCCCCGGCGAGCUCGCCGCUCAGUGCGGGCGGUACAACAACGAGAUCGACCGGCUGCUCCAGGAACACACGGAGAGACUCCGGCUUGCGCUGGCCGACACGAGGCGUCGGCAGAACCGGUCGCUGCUGGGCGCCGCAGAGGCGCUGGCCGCGCGGCGGGUCAGGGAGAUGGAGGCGGAGGCCUUCAAGGCGGCGCGGCGCGGCGUCGAGCUGGAGGAGCGGCUGGCGCGGCUGAGGGCGGAGGCGGCGUCGUGGCAAGCCAAGGCAAUGUCCGACCAGUCCACGGCGGCGGCGCUCCACGCGCAGCUGCAGCAGGCAGCGGCCACAGCGCAGGCGAGGAGCGGCAAGGCCGCCUUGGACGACGACGGCGCGGCAGGCGCGGCGGACGACGCCGAGUCCGGCUUCGUCGACCCGGACAGGGUGGUGGAGGUGGCGGCCCCGCCGCCGGCGGCCAGGCCGUGCCGCGCGUGCCGGCUCCGGCCGGCCACCACCGUGCUGCUCCCGUGCAGGCACCUCUGCGUGUGCGCCGCGUGCGAUCCCGGCGCCUCGGCCUCCCUCGCCGCCGCCGCGGCCUGCCCCGCGUGCCGCUGCCCCGUCACCGGCACCGUGCAGGUCUUCUUCGCGUGAAACGGGUCCGCCGCCGGAUCAUGAAAUCAGAGCCGCCAUGGAAAAGCUGUAGUAGAUCAGAUCAGACAGGUUUUUACUGCUGGCAACGCGUUGAUUGGGCGAAUUUUGUUACCGCGCACGGCACGGCUAGGCCUGCGGCGCAGUUGGGGCAGUUGCCGCCUCGGGAGCGAAGCGAGGCGGUUAAUUGGUUGGAGCAGGGCGUGGGCGUGGGGACGAGGGGUGGGCGGGCGGGCGGGCAGGAGGAAGUGGCGGGAAACGCGGCGGGCGAACACGCGCGCCCGUGGCCGUACGCGCGAUCCCGAUCCGACGUACCGGAGCGGGGGUCACGGCAGGGCUGUCGGUUGCUCGCACGCCGUGUUCCGGCUUUGAUCAUCACGGUUCUGCUGCACUGGACACGGACAGGCUAGGUCCUCGCGCGGCCCCAGAGAUGGAGGUGAACGCAUGUUCACGGAUAAAACUACUUGCUGUAAAUUUUUAUUUUUAUUUGCGGGUACACUACUUGCAGUGAAAUCUCACUCCAGCUGGACUCACCACACCGGAACGCUAUCCGGUACACUUGGCCUUGUGGUGCUACCGGUGCACCAGCCAUCCAGAUUCACUAUACGAGUGUUUAAAAAUACACGUAAGAUAUAUCUACCAUGUCACAGGGAAUUUUAAAAAAUGAAUUACAGCUUGAGAAAAAAAACUACAAAGUCAGCAGUUGCCAUGCUAAUGGGCCAAAUUUAUGGCCCAAACUAACAAAAGUUCUAUUCAUAAGAAUAUUUGAAUUUUGCCAAUGGGCCAAAUUUAUGGCCAAUCUAAAAGGAGUACUAUUCAUAAGAAUAUUU